CAGCACCUCAAGUGGUCAGGAUGAUUAUUGGGCCAAAGCAUCCGUAGCCGGCGCUGUAAGUUUUCGGUUAAAUCUGUACGCUCAACGUACAGGCUGCCGGGAAUACUGCAGCGCUAGGGAGUGGGAGAGGUAGACGGUACUCGGUAGGAAGGGGUAAAAUCCUUUGAUCUAUUGAUGACCACCUGUGGCGAAGGCGGUCUACCAGAACACGUCCGACGGUGAGGGAUGAAAGCUGGGGGAGCAAACCGGAUUAGAUACCCGAGUAGUCC
rnacentral:rRNA from 1 species